AUUGAACGCUGGCGGCAGGCCUAACACAUGCAAGUCGAACGAGUGGCGGGCGGGUGAGUAAUGUCUGGGAAACUGCCCGAUGGAGGGGGAUAACUACUGGAAACGGUAGCUAAUACCGCAUACCAUCGGAUGUGCCCAGAUGGGUUUAGCUAGUAGGUGGGGUAACGGCUCACCUAGGCGACGAUCCCUAGCUGGUCUGAGAGGAUGACCAGCCACACGGGAACUGAGACACGGCCCAGACUCCUACGGGAGGCAGCAGUGGGGAAUAUUGCACAAUGGGCGAAAGUCUGAUGGAGCAACGCCGCGUGUAUGAAGAAGGCUUUCGGAUUGUAAAGCACUGUUAGCAGAGAGGCGUUAUCUGAACAGAAAGCCCCGGCUAACUCCGUGCCAGCAGCCGCGGUAAUAC
rnacentral:rRNA from 1 species